GAGUUUGAUCCUGGCUCAGGAUAAACGCUGGCGGCGCACAUAAGACAUGCAAGUCGAACGAACUUAAUUCAUUCUUUUAGAUUGGAAGCGGUUAGUGGCGGACUGGUGAGUAACGCGUGAGCAACCUGCCUAUUAGAGGGGAAUAACAGCGAGAAAUCAUUGCUAAUACCGCAUAUGCUUACACUAUUGCAUGAUAGAGUAAGGAAAGGAGCAAUCCGCUAAUAGAUGGGCUCGCGUCUGAUUAGCUAGUUGGUGGGGUAGAAGCCUACCAAGGCGACGAUCAGUAGCCGGACUGAGAGGUUGAACGGCCACAUUGGGACUGAGAUACGGCCCAGACUCCUACGGGAGGCAGCAGUCGGGAAUAUUGCGCAAUGGAGGGAACUCUGACGCAGUGACGCCGCGUAUAGGAAGAAGGUUUUCGGAUUGUAAACUAUUGUCGUUAGGGAAGAAAAAAGACAGUACCUAAGGAGGAAGCCCCGGCUAACUAUGUGCCAGCAGCCGCGGUAAUACAUAGGGGGCAAGCGUUAUCCGGAAUUAUUGGGUGUAAAGGGUGCGUAGACGGGUGUUUAAGUUGGUUGUGAAAUCCCUCGGCUCAACUGAGGAACUGCAACCAAAACUGGAUAUCUUGAGUGUCGGAGAGGAAAGUGGAA
rnacentral:rRNA from 1 species